ACGAACGCUGGCGGCGUGCCUAAUACAUGCAAGUUGAGCGCUGAAGGUUGGUACUUGUACCAACUGGAUGAGCAGCGAACGGGUGAGUAACGCGUGGGGAAUCUGCCUUUGAGCGGGGGACAACAUUUGGAAACGAAUGCUAAUACCGCAUAAAAACUUUAAACACAAGUUUUAAGUUUGAAAGAUGCAAUUGCAUCACUCAAAGAUGAUCCCGCGUUGUAUUAGCUAGUUGGUGAGGUAAAGGCUCACCAAGGCGAUGAUACAUAGCCGACCUGAGAGGGUGGUCGGCCACCUUGGGUCUGGGACACGGCCCAAACUCCUACGGGAGGCAGCAGUAGGGAAUCUUCGGCAAUAGACGAAAGUCUGACCGAGCAACGCCGCGUGAGUGAAGAAGGUUUUCGGAUCGUAAAACUCUGUUGGUAGAGAAGAACGUUGGUGAGAGUGGAAAGCUCAUCAAGUGACGGUAACUACCCAGAAAGGGACGGCUAACUACGUG
rnacentral:rRNA from 1 species